rnacentral:rRNA from 1 species
GCGAAAGCCUGAUGCAGCCAUGCCGCGUGUGUGAAGAAGGCCCUAGGGUUGUAAAGCACUUUCAGUGGGGAGGAAAGGUUGAAGGUUAAUACCCUUUGGCUGUGACGUUACCCACAGAAGAAGCACCGGCUAACUCCGUGCCAGCAGCCGCGGUAAUACGGAGGGUGCGAGCGUUAAUCGGAAUUACUGGGCGUAAAGCGUGCGUAGGCGGCUUUUUAAGUUGGAUGUGAAAGCCCCGGGCUUAACCUGGGAACUGCAUCCAAAACUGGAAGGCUUGAGUGCGAGAGAGGAGUGUGGAAUUUCCUGUGUAGCGGUGAAAUGCGUAGAUAUAGGAAGGAACACCAGUGGCGAAGGCGACACUCUGGCUUGACACUGACGCUGAGGUACGAAAGCGUGGGGAGCAAACAGGAUUAGAUACCCUGGUAGUCCACGCCGUAAACGAUGUCUACUAGUUGUCGGUGGUCUUGUACUGCUGGUA